GCGGGCUAAUCUGCCUAUAAAUUGAGGGCUUCAUAGAAGCCUGAAAAUCACCAACUACGAUUCCCCCUCCUUCCUUUAUGCACCAAAAAUCAUAGAGAGUUUAUUUCAGCUGCAAUCUGGACCCCAAGAGUUUAUUCACUCCUGAAUUCAUUAGCACAGCAGCCAACCAAGCACAAAACACACAAGGUCAAGCACAAGAGUUUAAGGCUUAGUCGUGAGUCUCUACUACCAGGUUGAGCUGUGAUGAACGAUGAAGUGUUGCUGAGUGGAGCUUUUGUCGAACUUAGAAUAGGCUCAGAAAGGAUAUGUGUCUGCAUACAUGUAUCUCAGUCUUGCCUUCCGCUGCAAACACUGAUUAUGAUUUAGUCAAGUCUAUAACUAUAUGCCAAUUACUCUUCAAAGAAAUAUCUA